UACGAAGGGGGCUAGCGUUGCUCGGAAUCACUGGGCGUAAAGCGCACGUAGGCGGAUGUUUAAGUCAGAGGUGAAAGCCUGGAGCUCAACUCCAGAACUGCCUUUGAUACUGGGCAUCUUGAGUCCGGAAGAGGUAAGUGGAACUGCGAGUGUAGAGGUGAAAUUCGUAGAUAUUCGCAAGAACACCAGUGGCGAAGGCGGCUUACUGG
rnacentral:rRNA from 1 species